rfam:Ictidomys tridecemlineatus contig040184, whole genome shotgun sequence.
GGGGUUGUGGCUCAGAGGUAGAGCACUUGCCUAGUAUGCAUGAAGCACUGGGUUCCAUCCUCAGCACCA